rnacentral:misc_RNA from 1 species
GACUGUAGCCUCUUCAAAAAUGUCUUGGUCUGUCGGGUCUGUCGGGUAGUCGGGUCGUCUGUCGGGUGGUCUAAUGUCGCGUUCCCCAUGCACAUUGUUGGAAAUAAUGGGUGCAGUUUUUUUUCGUCGAACAAAUUAAACGUUAAUGUGCAGCUAUAGGUGGGUUGUUGUUGCUCUCCCUUGUAAAUCUACCCUUUUUCACCCAAUUGUUAAUCUAAUUCUUUUUGGAACGUUCGGAUGUCGCCCAAAAACAAGCGGAAGGCCAUUGGAGGCGUUAUGCCAUUUCCCGAAAUUGAACAUUCAAAAAAUGUGGUAUAUGUUCGCAAAUUGUUAAAAUAUAUUCAGAGUGGUCAUAAAGUAUGACUGUAACAGGGUACUUAGGCUUCUAAAAGUGAAGAACAGCUCUGACGUCUUUGGUAAUUGGAAAAGGUAGGCUACUGCAAAGAGAAGCGUCACAUGACGUAAAACCGUCUUGCAACCAGAAGUUGAUAUUCUAGGUUUUUGUGUUUAAAAUUGGAAUUAUUGGAAGUCUAGUCAAUCAAUUAGUAUUAUUUGGAAUUAGUAAAGUUCAAGUACUUAAAAGCAAGAAUUGUACGGAUUUCAAAGUAAAAUCUAUUGGGUUUCAGGAGGAAAAACUAGAUGGCGUUGAUGUGCGUUUUCUAUAAAUAUUACGAGCGACAAGUUAAAUGGAUGUUUGUUAAGUUUCUACCCUAUCUAGUGUUUCAAAGGCUUUUUCAUCAAAUAUUAACAGUGUGUUAUCUGUUCAGUAUUGCUACCAUUGGACAUGUAUUGAAAAGAAAAUCCUUAAAAUAAAAAGUUUUUUGUGUGUGGUAAGGUUUCACUUUGUCAGCUACUGAACCACUACACCGCUAACUAAACGCGUAAAUACCGCUACGCGAACGGGGUUAGUCGGGAGGCUAUCGAGAACUUUGCGAACACCGAGAGCCGUUGAGUUUCAAUUUCUCAAAAGUCGGGCUUAAUUCGCUUACGGGGAGGGCAUUCAAGUUCAGCUUCUAAGUAGGGUGUGCCUUAAGGACUGAAGUAAAUUGUUACUAGUAGAUGGCAAUGCAAGUUCUCCAAAAAAUAGCUACAGACAUCUAGUGGACUAAUUUUCAACUACCCUGAAUUUUUGUCACCCAUUAUUGCGAUACCAUAGAAUGAGUGAUCCCGAACAAAACGUGAUCUUAGUGUCUGUCAUUUCUGUUACUUUUUUGCGUUCCGAAGGAUAAUUCAACUAUAAUUUUACGGUAGUUUAUUUACCAUUUAGUUAGUUUUGUUAACAGCUAAGCAAGCUACUGAACCAUAUAAUUGUGAGCCACCCUCUUUCUUCACUUUCCAUCAUGCUAUUGCACACUGAGAGAAUUCACAUUCUACCCACCACCGUCCUAUUAGCAUGAUUCUUUUUUAAUAUACAGUUCAUGGAAAUAAAAGCGCAAGAGAUGCUGACAAUAGAGAAUUACAGCUCUCAUCUUCCUUCUCUGCAAAAUUGCCAUUUCAACAAUUUAUUCAGUUUCGACCCAAUUGGAUCACAAGCAACUACACUAUUUUCCUCUUCACACCGGUACAAAAUCCACCAUCAGAACUACGGCCUUGCUGUCUUCUUCCUUCGCCUUCGCCUCAUCGCUGUCAUCCUCUACGCUUUUGCCUUUGGGUCAUCGCUGUCUUCGCCUACGCCUUCUCCUUUGCGUCAUCGCUGUCUUCGUAUCGUUCUCCGUCCUCGAUCCAGCAAUUAAAGAACGACAUGGCUUAGCAAAACAAAAAAGAUAGCCAAAAAGCAUGCAGUUCAGCAGACAGCCCACGGCGAUGAAGGAAGUUCACCGUGGAUCGUCGCCCUGGUAUUGUUUUGUUUUGCAUUGUAGUGUAUAAGUUAACCCGUUGGCUGCCACCCCGUUUGCGCCCCAUUUUUUUUGUAGCUUUUAGGGACCGGGCGCUGUUCUGCCUCGUGCAUGAGGGGGAACAGUCGCCGCGCCUAAAGGCUUUGUGCCUUUAGGCGCCGUAGGCAAUGCACCAGUAGGGCCUCUCUUUGUCGGUGCGGUGAUAGAUUCCUGGGGUGUGCAUUCCCGGAAUGGUUUCUAUCAUCUUACCAACCCGGACUUGUCUUCGGACAAGUCCCACCUUGUUCGCGAUCCUUCUGACGUGAUGCGUAGCAACUGUAGUUACAGCAACCUAUGGGUUGCGUGGCCUGGCAGCCAACGGGUUAACUUAGUGUAAAUGUAUGUUCAUUUGUGUAUGUAUUUAUGUUUAUCUAAAGUGUUAUGUAAAAUAGUGGUGGAAUUGAUGGGAGGAGGUGGGACAAUACAAAAAAAUUCCUAUGUA